rnacentral:rRNA from 1 species
AUUGAACGCUGGCGGCAUGCCUUACACAUGCAAGUCGAACGGUAACAGGUCUUCGGAUGCUGACGAGUGGCGAACGGGUGAGUAAUACAUCGGAACGUGCCUAGUAGUGGGGGAUAACUACUCGAAAGAGUGGGUAAUACCGCAUGAGAUCUACGGAUGAAAGCAGGGGAUCGCAAGACCUUGUGCUAUGAGAGGGGCCGAUGGCAGAUAGGUAGUGGGUGGGAUAAAAGCUUACCAAGCCGACGAUCUGUAGCUGGUCUGAGAGGACGAUCAGCCACACUGGGACUGAGACACGGCCCAGACUCCUACGGGAGGCAGCAGUGGGGAAUUUUGGACAAUGGGCGAAAGCCUGAUCCAGCAAUGCCGCGUGCAGGAUGAAGGCCUUCGGGUUGUAAACUGCUUUUGUACGGAACGAAAAGCCCCGGGUUAAUACCCUGGGGUCAUGACGGUACCGUAAGAAUAAGCACCGGCUAACUACGUGCCAGCCGCCGCCGUAA